ensembl:lncRNA
GUUCAAUUCUCCUUACCUGGAGUAAGGAGAUAUGCAAGCAUUUCUGGUAUUGCUGUAAGACUGCACAGAACUCUAAUCAGUUUGGAUAUGUGGAAAGGACUUCUCCACAAUGUUCCAGGAGAGCAUGAGUGGGCACUAUCUUGCUGUGAACAUGCCCCCUUAUCGGCCGACAGGGAGAAGGAGUGGAUCCAGAGUGAUUCUGAGAAAUAGUUACUGUCAGAAAUAGUGCUGGAUGAGCACUGGCUGAAGAAUGUGGAGAAGCUCCUGAGUUUCAGUCAACCACUGAGCUGCAAUCCUUCCACAAUCAUAUACUGAUGUAUGCCAGCAAGCGAUUCAGCUUUAGCUCCCCUGUUUACAAAGCACGCACCCUCUUAGCAGCGUUGGACUACAACCAUCAUGUUCACAGACCGGUGAAGAGGAAGGCUGAUGGCUCAAUAGA